UAUGAUAUUGUUGAGGUUAACUGAUAGAGGAACGAGUGGAUGAAUUUAUUAUUAGAAAAAUAUAUUGAAGUAAGUAUAAGUACAGGUACAGUGUAUGAGGUGAAAAUCAAAUAAAUUGUUAUCGUUAUUUAUUAAUUUAAUGUGUGAUAUUGUCGAGGUUAAGUGAUAGAGAAACGAUUGGAUGAAUUUGUAAUAGAAAAAUAUAUUGAAAUAAGUAUAAGUACAAGUAUAGUGUAUGAGGUGAACAUCAAAUAAACUGUUAUCAUUAUUUAUUAAUUUCAUGUAUGAUAUUGUUGAGGUUAACUAAUAGCGGAACGAGUGGAUGAAUUUGUAAUAGAAAAAUAUAUUGAAGUAAGUAUAAGUACAGGUUAGCUGAUAGAGGAACGAGUGGAUGAAUUUGUA